AAAAAAAAGGGUCGGCCAAUUGGAGCUGUUUUGAAAUCGAUCGCACCAUUACGUAGGUGUGCGAUUCCCCCCGCCCACCGAAUUGAUUGACAGCUGCGCGUAUUAACAUAUCCUGAGUUUGCCGUUUCCGCCAUUAUCAGCGUGAACGUCAAAGCGAUGCCACCGAGAGAACACCCUUGUCCUAUUUUAGGAUGUAAGGCUCAGCACAAGAGCCUUCACCGUCUUCCUGCAAAUGAGCAACAGAGGCUUAAGUGGCUGAGUUUUAUCUUUGAAGACAAGGUGCCUGAAAAUGUACCAAAACUGUUGUAUGUUUGCGCUAACCACUUUAGCGUAGACUGCCUCGAGAACGCGGGACAAUACAACUCCGGAUUCGCGAGUAAAUUGUUUUUGAAAACUGGAUCAGUUCCUACAAUACGUGAUCCUGCCUCACUUCAAGCCACGACGUCGACAAAGAGCAACAAGGUGGAUGUUUGUUGCCAGACAGAACCAUUUCACACAUCUUUACACAGUGUUGGUACCCAGUUGUCUUUUAGGACGCUUCAGGCUAAACGCAGGAGUACAAGUGUCCAGACAACAGUAUCCAGUUUUGAACUGACUGUACCAUCAGCAUCCUCUACUGUGUUUAUGACUUCGACACCCCUCAAACCUUCACUAAAAAGACCUCGUCUGGAGCUGGAGGAGGAGAAGGAGGAAGAAGAAAAAGCCGAAGAGACUUUGACAGAGUCAAAAAUUAUAGCCCAAGACUCGGAUGUGAGAUUUGACCCUGCAGAGGAAUGCACAUCUGCAACUGAACCAACAGACUUGUCAAUCCAAGAAUGCCCAGUUCAUAACAUUGCCAAGUUCAUUGUCUAUGAAACAUGCCUCAUGGAGCUCUUCAGUGACUGCCCAGUGUGUCAAAGGAGAUGUGAUGUAAAGUCACAAAGGCUUGGGACAUUUCUGAGCGUACAGCAAGUCUGCCCACACUGCGAGUUUGUAAGAAAAUGGAACAGUCAGCCAAUUAUUGGUAGUACUCCAGCUAGCAACCUGCAUCUUUCUGCUGCAGUCUACUUGAGUGGUGCAUAAUUUUUUGUAGUUGAAAAGGUAUUUGCUGCCAUGAAACUACACAUUUUUAAAUAUAAUUCAUUUCGUUGUCAUGCAAGACUUUGAACUAGCAUUGAACCUGCUAUUGUCCACAAGUGGAGAAAUUGGCAGAGUGAAAUGCUAGAACAGCUCAGUCGAAGAGAGAAUGUGAUUGUUGGAGGAGAUAAGAGGGCUGACUCCCCAGGUCACUCGGCCAAGUAUGGGAGUUAUACAAUGAUGGACCUUGCAACUAACACAGUGGUCGACCUAAAGUUAGUCCAGAGUAAUGAGGUGGGCGGCAGUUACCAUAUGGAAAAAGAAGGCCUAAAGAGAAGCCUUGACCUGUUGGAUGCCCGCGGUGUUCGUCUGGAAUGCAUCAUCACAGACCGACAUCCUCAAAUGCAGAAAUAUCUCAGGGAUCGAAAUGUCACUCAGUUUUACGAUGUGUGGCAUAUCGAGAAAGGAAUUUCCAAAAAACUGGACAAGAUAUGCCAGAUAAAGGGGUGUGAGAAGUUGCGUAAAUGGUUGCGUAGCAUCAAAAACCACAUCUACUGGACUGCUGCAUCAUCCACAACAGGUCCUGAAAGAGUGGCAAAGUGGACCUCUAUCUUAAACCAUGUACAUGAAGACCCCAAUUUUCCGGCUUAUCUGCAUCCGCAACGGAUAAGCAGAGACAAGAACAAAUGGCUGUCGGCUGCAACGAUGCCAUUCUACAAGCUGGAGAAAGUUCUCGCUAACAAGAGAAUAUUGAAGGAUGUGGCCAAGCUAAGUCCUCACCACCAGACGUCAACUGUUGAAGCUUUCCACAGCGUCCUACUGCGGUUUGCACCCAAAAAUGUGGUAUUCCCAUUUCUGGGGAUGCUAUGCAGGUUGUACUUGGCUGCACUGCAUUACAAUGAAAAUGCCGGGCGUCCCCAGGCCACAUCAGCAACUGGUAAACCUAUUUACAAGCUUGCCUUUCCAAAGGCAAAGAAAGGAGAGUAUAGGGUCCGAAAAGUGAAGACGCAGCAAACUUUCGGUUAUGUAAAAGAGCUGCUGGACCUCAUCUUCAACCAAGUGUUUGUGGACCCAUCACCCUAUGUUGAUGAAGUGUUGGGAAUUCACAUACCACCUGCUCUAUCAUCAGCCUGCGAUCUACCUGAGAUGGAGGAGGCUAUCUCCAGCAGGGUGACCCGCUUCAAUCAAUAGCUAUCCUAAAACCCACAUAGCUGCCCUGCUCUUCAGGAAACUGUCUCAGAAUCUUCAGCACCACACAGGCAGGAAUCACAACACGGACUCUCCGCCCGAGGAAACCCCAACACCAGCUCGCAAAGCUCCGAUAAGCCAAAAAGCGGCACUGUCUAACAGAGACAUAAUAAUGAAACAUUGUUUUAGAAAUUGCACUACAAUUUGAACUUGGGAGUUAUCACAUAUACAUUUUUAUUUUUGAUAAAAUAACUAGCUUUAACAACAUUUCAGAAGUAAUAUUUUGUUUAUUCAACUGCCAAUGUUUGAUAUGUUUAUGUGUUUGUAGAUAUACUGUACUUUCUAAUGUUCAUGGACAAUUGUAUUUCAUUCAACAAAGUGACAACUUGAAGUUUAUAUUUUAUAUUUGCACAAGGAUACAUUUUAUAUUUGCCAAUCACAUUUUAAUUUAUACUUCAAUAUAAAGUUUUUAUAUGACUAAGGAAUUGAAGCAUCUUUUCUGAAGUGUUGAUGUUUCUAUGCCAUACUGAUUUUUAUAUAUUUUAAGAGUUUAUAUAUUAAUGUUUAGUGAAAUUAAAAUUAUUUUUCAAUAAAAAGUACAUGCAUUA
rnacentral:lncRNA from 1 species